rnacentral:rRNA from 1 species
UACGAAGGGGGCUAGCGUUGCUCGGAAUCACUGGGCGUAAAGCGCACGUAGGCGGAUUGCUAAGUCAGGGGUGAAAUCCUGGAGCUCAACUCCAGAACUGCCCUUGAUACUGGCGGUCUCGAGUCCGGGAGAGGUGAGUGGAACUGCGAGUGUAGAGGUGAAAUUCGUAGAUAUUCGCAAGAACACCAGUGGCGAAGGCGGCUACCUGGCCCACUCUUGACGCUGAGGCGCGAAAGCUAGGGGAGCAAACGGG